CAGCCGCCACGGUAAUACGGGGGGGGCAAGUGUUAUUCGGAAUGACUGGGCGUAAAGGGCACGUAGGCGGUGAAAAGGGUGGAAAGUGAAAGUCGCCAAAACACUGGCGGGGUGCUUUCUUGACCAUUUCACUUGAGUGAGAUAGGGGAGAGUGGAAUUUCGUGUGUAGGGAUCAAAUCCUAAGAUAUACGAAGGAACGCCAACCGCGAAGGCAGCUCUCUGGGUCCCCACUGACGCUGGGGUGCGAAAGCAUGGGGAGCAAACAGGAUCAGAUACCCGAGUAGUCCCUGUCUCUUAUACA
rnacentral:rRNA from 1 species